rnacentral:rRNA from 1 species
GAUGAUCCGGUGCUUGCGCCGGGGAUUAGUGGCGAACGGGUGAGUAACACGUGAGUAACCUGCCCUUGACUCUGGGAUAAGCCUGGGAAACUGGGUCUAAUACCGGAUAUGACUCCUCAUCGCAUGGUGGGGGGUGGAAAGCUUUUGUGGUUUUGGAUGGACUCGCGGCCUAUCAGCUUGUUGGUGAGGUAAUGGCUCACCAAGGCGACGACGGGUAGCCGGCCUGAGAGGGUGACCGGCCACACUGGGACUGAGACACGGCCCAGACUCCUACGGGAGGCAGCAGUGGGGAAUAUUGCACAAUGGGCGCAAGCCUGAUGCAGCGACGCCGCGUGAGGGAUGACGGCCUUCGGGUUGUAAACCUCUUUCAGUAGGGAAGAAGCGAAAGUGACGGUACCUGCAGAAGAAGCGCCGGCUAACUACGUGCCAGCAGCCGCGGUAAUACGUAGGGCGCAAGCGUUAUCCGGAAUUAUUGGGCGUAAAGAGCUCGUAGGCGGUUUGUCGCGUCUGCCGUGAAAGUCCGGGGCUCAACUCCGGAUCUGCGGUGGGUACGGGCAGGCUAGAGUGAUGUAGGGGAGACUGGAAUUCCUGGUGUAGCGGUGAAAUGCGCAGAUAUCAGGAGGAACACCGAUGGCGAAGGCAGGUCUCUGGGCAUUAACUGACGCUGAGGAGCGAAAGCAUGGGGAGCGAACAGGAUUAGAUACCCUGGUAGUCCAUGCCGUAAACGUUGGGCACUAGGUGU